rnacentral:rRNA from 1 species
AGCGGCGGAUGGGUGAGUAACACGUGGGGAACCUGCCCCUAAGUCUGGGAUACCAUUUGGAAACAGGUGCUAAUACCGGAUAAUAAAGCAGAUCGCAUGAUCAGCUUUUGAAAGGCGGCGUAAGCUGUCGCUAAGGGAUGGCCCCGCGGUGCAUUAGCUAGUUGGUAAGGUAACGGCUUACCAAGGCGACGAUGCAUAGCCGAGUUGAGAGACUGAUCGGCCACAUUGGGACUGAGACACGGCCCAAACUCCUACGGGAGGCAGCAGUAGGGAAUCUUCCACAAUGGACGCAAGUCUGAUGGAGCAACGCCGCGUGAGUGAAGAAGGUUUUCGGAUCGUAAAGCUCUGUUGUUGGUGAAGAAGGAUAGAGGUAGUAACUGGCCUUUAUUUGACGGUAAUCAACCAGAAAGUCACGGCUAACUACGUGCCAGCAGCCGCGGUAAUACGUAGGUGGCAAGCGUUGUCCGGAUUUAUUGGGCGUAAAGCGAGCGCAGGCGGAAAAAUAAGUCUGAUGUGAAAGCCCUCGGCUUAACCGAGGAACUGCAUCGGAAACUGUUUUUCUUGAGUGCAGAAGAGGAGAGUGGAACUCCAUGUGUAGCGGUGGAAUGCGUAGAUAUAUGGAAGAACACCAGUGGCGAAGGCGGCUCUCUGGUCUGCAACUGACGCUGAGGCUCGAAAGCAUGGGUAGCGAACAGGAUUAGAUACCCUGGUAGUCCAUGCCGUAAACGAUGAGUGCUAAGUGU